UGACAAUGAAAUUCAACUCAUAAUUUUUCACACACACACAUACACAAAACCGUAAUUGUUUUAACUAUUAAAAACUAAAUCCCUAGAUCAUGAGCUAGAUUUGAGCCUCAGGCUAUAUCAAUUUGAACCAAGCAAGAUGGCAGGAAAGUCACCGAAAAGCUCCACUGGAGCAGAAAGAGAGAGGGUCAGACAUGACGACGCUGCAGCUUCCAAGCUAAGUUAGAAAGACUCCACUACGGUUUGGUCACAGCGACACUGUGACUAAUCUCUGAGGACAUUUUUGUGUCAGCAUGGAGUGGCCCCGUCAGGGACCAAGCCUGCAGUGCGGUAGCCACAGCCUUCCUUACCACCCCAGUCACCUGCACCAAGCAGACUGUUACAGCUUCAAAGCUUCAAGAAACAGAAAUGAGGUUAAAAGUCAUUAUGGCCCGCAAGGACUAUGGAUGACCUCUUCCAACAUGCCGGCCAGACGUUUCCAACCCAUCCCUUCCUGGAUUAGAGUUUUAGCGCUGAAGGCUUAUCUGGCUCCCUGAGACCCGGAGAAUCUUAAGUCCCAGAGGCCAGGGCACAGACCUGAUCUAAAUGGAGAUGACGACCCGUAUGCCCUUCGAAACACCCUGCUUUGAGACAGAAAUUCUGUCAGGCUACCACCAUGGGUCCUGAGCUAGUGACCCACCAACGUGAAAGAAAGCAAAUGCUGGUGGCUAUCAGGCUGAGUGAAGAGAGCGAAACUUGGAAUAUUCACUAUGCGCCAGAUGUUUGAGGUGCUAGAAAUCAGCAGCUGUAUAGGCAGAUCCCGUCUUGGAAAGAGCCCUCAAUCUAAUUGACCGAAUCUCUCUGCAGUC
rnacentral:lncRNA from 1 species